AGGAAGAGAAAGUGUCACAGACACGA
rnacentral:piRNA from 1 species